GACGAACGCUGGCGGCGUGCCUAAUACAUGCAAGUCGAGCGGACAGAAGGGAGCUUGCUCCCGGAAGUUAGCGGCGGACGGGUGAGUAACACGUGGGCAACCUACCCUGUAGAUCGGGAUAACAUCGAGAAAUCGGUGCUAAUACCGGAUAAUCAUCUGAAGUGCAUGCUUCGAAUGUAAAAGAUGGCUCCGGCUAUCACUACGGGAUGGGCCCGCGGCGCAUUAGCUAGUUGGUAAGGUAAUGGCUUACCAAGGCAACGAUGCGUAGCCGACCUGAGAGGGUGAUCGGCCACACUGGGACUGAGACACGGCCCAGACUCCUACGGGAGGCAGCAGUAGGGAAUCUUCCGCAAUGGACGAAAGUCUGACGGAGCAACGCCGCGAGAGUGAUGAAGGUUUUCGGAUCGUAAAGCUCUUUCGGCAGGAACGAAACGCUCUGGACCAAUACUCCGGGGUAAUGACGGUACCUGAAGAAGAAGCACCGGCUAACUACGUGCCAGCCGCCGCAGUAAGAC
rnacentral:rRNA from 1 species